rnacentral:rRNA from 1 species
UACGUAGGGUGCGAGCGUUAAUCGGAAUUACUGGGCGUAAAGCGUGCGCAGGCGGUGAUGUAAGACAGGUGUGAAAUCCCCGGGCUUAACCUGGGAACUGCAUUUGUGACUGCAUCGCUGGAGUGCGGCAGAGGGGGGAUGGAAUUCCACGUGUAGCAGUGAAAUGCGUAGAGAUGUGGAGGAACACCGAUGGCGAAGGCAGCCCCCUGGGCCGACACUGACGCUCAGGCACGAAAGCGUGGGGAGCAAACAGG